UGGGGAAUAUUGGACAAUGGGGGCAACCCUGAUCCAGCAAUGCCGCGUGUGUGAAGAAGGUCUUCGGAUUGUAAAGCACUUUUGACGGGGACGAUGAUGACGGUACCCGUAGAAGAAGCCCCGGCUAACUUCGUGCCAGCAGCCGCGGUAAUACGAAGGGGGCUAGCGUUGCUCGGAAUGACUGGGCGUAAAGGGCGUGUAGGCGGUUUACACAGUCAGAUGUGAAAUCCCCGGGCUUAACCUGGGAGCUGCAUUUGAUACGUGUAGACUAGAGUGUGAGAGAGGGUUGUGGAACUCCCAGUGUAGAGGUGAAAUUCGUAGAUAUUGGGAAGAACACCGGUGGCGAAGGCGGCAACCUGGCUCAUGACUGACGCUGAGGCGCGAAAGCGUGGGGAGCAAACAGGAUUAGAUACCCUGGUAGUCCACGCUGUAAACGAUGUGUGCUAGAUGUUGGGUAACUUUGUUAUUCAGUGUCGCAGUUAACGCGUUAAGCACACCGC
rnacentral:rRNA from 1 species